rnacentral:rRNA from 1 species
AGCGAACGUUAGCGGCGGGCCUAACACAUGCAAGUCGAGCGAGAAAGUGGCUUCGGCCAUCAGUAAAGCGGCGGACGGGUGAGUAACACGUAGGUAAUCUUCCCUUGAGCGGGGGACAACGUUUCGAAAGGAACGCUAAUACCGCAUACGUUUCUGGGGACUCCGGUCUCUGGAAGGAAAGCUAGGUCGCAAGAUCCGGCACUCGAGGAGGAGCCUGCGUCGCAUCAGCUAGUUGGGGGGUAACGGCCUACCAAGGCGAAGACGCGUAGCUGGUCUGAGAGGAUGAUCAGCCACACUGGGACUGAGACACGGCCCAGACUCCUACGGGAGGCAGCAGUGGGAAUAUUGGACAAUGGGCGCAAGCCUGAUCCAGCCACGCCGCGUGAGUGAUGAAGGCC